rnacentral:rRNA from 1 species
UACGUAGGGGGCAAGCGUUUGUCCGGAUUUAUUGGGCGUAAAGAGCGUGUAGGCGGCCGUACAGGUCAGCUGUGAAAACUCGAGGCUCAACCUCGAGACGUCGGUUGAAACCGUACGGCUAGAGUCCGGAAGAGGAGAGUGGAAUUCCCGGUGUAGCGGUGAAAUGCGCAGAUAUCGGGAAGAACACCCGUGGCGAAGGCGGCUCUCUGGGACGGUACUGACGCUGAGACGCGAAAGCGUGGGGAGCGAACAGG